UCCUUUAAGUUUCAUUUUUGCGACCGUACUUUCCAAGUGUCAAGUGUCACGCGUUCACUAUUGCACACAGCAUACCGAAAAAGAAUUGAAAACGCAGGGACGGGCAUUAACGGUGUCGACCGCCCCGGGAUCUGAUGCGGUUCGAGUGCUAACCUUUAUUAUUGUGUCUAAAGGGUCCGUAGCGGGCAGAGCAAUUCUCUUGGGAAAUCUGGCAACUUAACUGUCAAGUUUUCCCGACACACUGACUGGCUCUAGGCCCGCACAGGUGAGAGGUAUUUCAGGGGUAGGGGUGAAAUCUUGUAAUCCUUGAAGGACCACCAAUGACAAAGGCGUCUCACCAUAACGGACCUGACGGCAAGGGACUAAAGCUAGGGGCACGAACCGGAUUAGAUACCCGGGUAGUCCUAACCGUAAACGAUACUCCCUAGGUGUCGGCCACGGUGCAACCGUGGUCAGUGCCGUAUGGAAACCGUGAAACGAGCCACCUGGGAAGUACCGCCGCAAGGCUGAAACUUAAAGGAAUUGGGGGGGGAGCAC
rnacentral:rRNA from 1 species